rfam:Picea glauca, whole genome shotgun sequence.
AAAAAGGCCUUUUUGAGGCCAUAUAACAAGUUCAAAAUAGGUUUAU